rnacentral:misc_RNA from 1 species
GAUGAAGAACGUAGCGAAAUGCGAUACGUAAUGUGAAUUGCAGAAUUCUGUGAAUCAUCGAAUCUUUGAACGCAUAUUGCGCUCUCUGGUAUUCCGGAGAGCAUGCUUGUUUGAGUAUCAGUAAACACCUCAACUUCCAUAUCUUUUUUGAAAUGGGAGUUGGACUUGAGUGAUCCCAACGCUUUUCCUCACCGAAAAGUGGCGGGUUACUUGAAAUGCAGGUGCAGCUGGACUUUUCUCUGAGCUAUAAGCAUAUCUAUUUAGUCUGCCUAAAAAACAGAUUAUUACCUUUGCUGCAGCUAACAUAAAGGAGAUUAGUUCUUGUGCUGACUGAUGCAGGAUUCACAAAGACAGGCUUCGGCCGACUUUGUAAACUCGAUCUCAAAUCAAGUAAGACUACCCGCUGAACUUAAGCAUAUCAAUAAGCGGAGGA